AUUGAACGCUGGCGGCAUGCCUAACACAUGCAAGUCGAACGAGAUCUUCGGGUCUAGUGGCGCGCGGGUGCGUAACGCGUGGGAAUCUGCCCUUUGGUUCGGAAUAACAGUUGGAAACGACUGCUAAUACCGGAUGAUGACGAAAGUCCAAAGAUUUAUCGCCAGAGGAUGAGCCCGCGUAGGAUUAGCUAGUUGGUGUGGUAAAGGCGCACCAAGGCGACGAUCCUUAGCUGGUCUGAGAGGAUGAUCAGCCACACUGGGACUGAGACACGGCCCAGACUCCUACGGGAGGCAGCAGUGGGGAAUAUUGGACAAUGGGCGAAAGCCUGAUCCAGCAAUGCCGCGUGAGUGAUGAAGGCCUUAGGGUUGUAAAGCUCUUUUACCCGGGAUGAUAAUGACAGUACCGGGAGAAUAAGCUCCGGCUAACUCCGUGCCAGCCGCCGCAGUAACAC
rnacentral:rRNA from 1 species